UUCGGCAUCACCUCUGACCUGUAGAGGGCGUAGGCCGAGGCCGGCCUCUUGGGCGCGUCGCGGAACUUCGUCCUCUGGAUCUUCUUGAGGCUCUGCGAC
rnacentral:SRP_RNA from 13 species